rnacentral:rRNA from 1 species
UACGUAGGGUGCAAGCGUUGUCCGGAAUUAUUGGGCGUAAAGAGCUCGUAGGCGGUCUGUCGCGUCGGCUGUGAAAACUCGGGGCUCAACUCCGAGCUUGCAGUCGAUACGGGCAGGCUAGAGUUCGGCAGGGGAGACUGGAAUUCCUGGUGUAGCGGUGAAAUGCGCAGAUAUCAGGAGGAACACCGGUGGCGAAGGCGGGUCUCUGGGCCGAUAUUGACGCUGAGGGGCGAAAGCGUGGGGAGCAAA